AGAAAAAACAAUCAUAUUGAUUUCAUAACACAAUUAUCUAGUUUUGAGCCGAAGAUUCUAUUUUCUGUGCUCCUAUUUAGUUUUGAAAUCAAUAUGUUCUGUUUUUAAUUUUUCGUGCUCAAAUUUAGUCCAUUUUUAUUGUAUUAUUAAAACACAUUAUUUUUUUAUGUUAUUCUUGACAAUAUUAACCAAGAAACAAA
rnacentral:misc_RNA from 1 species